rnacentral:rRNA from 1 species
ACGUAGUUAGCCGGGGCUUCUUAGUCAGGUACCGUCUUUUUUCUUCCCUGCUGAUAGAGCUUUACAUACCGAAAUACUUCUUCACUCACGCGGCGUCGCUGCAUCAGGGUUUCCCCCAUUGUGCAAUAUUCCCCACUGCUGCCUCCCGUAGGAGUUUGGGCCGUGUCUCAGUCCCAAUGUGGCCGUUCACCCUCUCAGGCCGGCUACUGAUCGUCGCCUUGGUAGGCCGUUACCCCACCAACCAGCUAAUCAGACGCGGGCUCAUCUUAUACUACCGGAGUUUUUCACACAGAAACAUGCGUUCCCGUGCGCUUAUGCGGUAUUAGCAGUCAUUUCUAACUGUUAUCCCCCUGUAUAAGGCAGAUUACCCACGUGUUACUCACCCGUCCGCCGCUAAGUCAAUUUCGAUUCCAUCCGAAAACUUCCUACAAAAUCGCUUCGCUCGACUUGCAUGUGUUAGGCACGCCGCCAGCGUCACUCUCGAGCACGGAGACUAAACUACUCUGAGACUACG